AUCCGGUAAAAUGUCUUUAUGGUGUUGCAGAGUGACAUACUUAUGAUUUUGAACGUUCAAAAAUUAGAUAUGGUCGAUACAGGUUAACAAGCAAUGUUUUUAUUUGUAACUACCAUUGACAAUAGUAGUUAAUGCCACUUGCACCCUUUGCCAAGUACAGUUGGCAUCUUCAAUUUUGAUAACGCUUGUUCAUGGUCGAUACAGGUUAACAUGCACCCUUUGCCAAGUACAGUUGUUGGCAUCUUCAAUUUUGAUAACGCUUGUUCAUGGUCGAUACAGGUUAACAUGCACCCUUUGCCAAGUACAGUUGGCAUCUGCAAUUUUGAUAACGCUUGCUCAGUCGAUACAGGUUAACAUGUGCACCCUUUGCCAAGUACAGUUGGCAUCUUCAAUUUUGAUAACGCUUGUUCAUGGUCGAUACAGGUUAACAUGUGCACCCUUUGCCAAGUACAGUUGGCAUCUUCAUUUGAUAACGUGCUCAUGGUCGAUACAGGUUAACAUGCACCCUUUGCCAAGUACAGUUGGCAUCUGCAAUUUUGAUAACGCUUGCUCAUUUGAAGUGACUAUAUAUACGAGGAAUUGUAUUUACUAUUUCUAAUAUUCUGUCGGCCACUACUGUUCCAAAUUCCUCAUUUUACCUGACGAGGAUUAAGUUAUGAUUUAUAGACCAACUUCUCAAUGCUAAUGAGCGAAAAGUUUACGAUUUGAGAAUGACAAGAUCAACUGAUGUAUAUCCUAAGGAAAAACACAUACCAAUCAUAUUAUACGAGAAUGUAUAGGUCAUGUCUUUAUUAUGCUGAAAUCAAUUUUAACUCUUUCAUUCUUCCCUGACUUCCUCAAGCACAUGAUUUAAGAAGGGGUAACCCAUGGGCUAAAAGUCGAACCUUAAGUAAUUUUUAAGGAAGGGAAAAUGCACCUGUGAGCCAUUUUUAAUUGGCAUAAAGGGACAUCUAACUGACUUGCUCUGCUUUCCUUUUAAGCUUUACUGUAUGUUAAAUUAAAAACACAUUAGACCCUAGGCCUGUGAUACAACUAACCGAGUUUCGAUUUGUUAAAUUAUAGAUGCAAUAGACCAUCUAUUACUCUUGCAUCCUUUUCACUAUUUAUUGAUUUGCUGUUCUGUGUUGUGAAAUCAAUAUUCACAAAUUAAAUGUGACACGCUGAACUGACAUUAAAAUACAGAUGUUGAAGGAGAAAAAAAAAACCAAGCAAAAAACGAAAAACAAGCAAAAACAAAACAAAAAAAAAAAAACACUACACAAACAUAAGUUCAGCGGAAAAUUCCAUUGGUGGUCACACGAUUAUAAUUCGCUGUGUAGUGGACAUAAUUAUUUUUCCGGCCG
rnacentral:lncRNA from 1 species